CCUCUUUCUUCAAUGAACCCCUCAGCCACCCAAAGCCUUAUGAGCCUCUCACUUUUAAUUGUAUAGUCUUCCGGAAAGCUAGAACAAUAUAAGAAGCAAUUUCGAAGGUAAUGGGGAAGAUCGUCCAAACUAAGUUUCAAAAUGUCAUGUACUUUUUCAUGGAGCUUCGAUUCACUGUUUGUUAGAUACCACUCAAGAUCUUUGUAAACCUUCUCCCACUCAGAACCGGUUUGUUCUCGAAAUGAUAAGAGACGGGCUAUAGAUACGAUAGCAAGGGGCAAGCCACCGCACUUCUCGGCAAUUUGUUUAGCACAUUGUUCUAAAGGCGGUGGGCAAGUCUUCUUUGCACUUUUCCAAAAUGUGUUUUUACAAAAUAGAUCCCACGAAUCAUUUGCCUCCAGUUUCUCUAGCUCAAGCAUACAGUGAUCGUUAGCUAAUAGUGCUACUUCAUGAUUCCUUGUUGUGAGAACUAUUCGACUCUUGCUAUUACUAUUCAGAAGUGCAUUCCUUAUAUUGUCCAGUACAUCAGCACUCCAAACAUCAUCUAGAAUAAGUAGUACAUAGUUUUUACAUUGCAAGUAAGUGCGGAUAGUCUCAACCAAGCUUCUGCGAUCCAUGGUAUCAAUGUCGUUCGGUGCUUGUCUUUUCUCAUGAUCUUCCCUAUAAAACUCUUUUAACAUCUGUCUGAGGAAAUCAUCAGUCUCAUAACUUUGAGAUACAGCAACCCAGGCACAAGCAUCAAAGGUAGCUUUGAUGAUUUUGUACACAUGAGUUACGAGAGUUGUCUUCCCUAGACCACCCAUCCCCAACACUCAGAUUGUCAUGUGCUGCCGUUGCUGCUCAUCCUCAUCUUUCAACCAUCUGAGCAACAAGUCCUUGUACUUGUCAAUACCCACGAUAUCAUCCUCCUCGACAAAAUGUGCUAAUUCUGCACGGCUCUUGCUAUCGCCAACAGCUAUUUGAGAUUUUGCUUCACUUUCCAUUCCUCUUGUAUCAUAUCUUGUCCUUCUCUCCAUAAUGUUUUGGAGCUUAAUUUUGAUCUCUCUAAGCCUCUUGCUAAGGCGAUGCCAAGUUGUUAUAUUUCUGCACCCCUUGACUGUUUUAGGUAGGACGCCUCCUUGCUCUUCACCGAGCUUGUAUGUGAACUCAUCUAUAAUAUCCUCAAUGUCGAAAGCCAAGUCUCUCAUUUGUUUUAUAAAGAUUUUUGUGCUCUCAUCCUUCUCUUUUUGUCUUUCUGCGAUCCGUAGGAAGGAUAGCAUGCUCUCAAGCUCGUCCUUAAUGUCACUUAUAUCCUCCACAAGUUCUUUCAUUGCUGAUAUCCAUGAUUUUGUUGCUUUAGUUGCUUCACUAGCUAAGGCAGUACCAAUAUUCAGGAGUAAUGAGCUUACCGCAGCCUCCGCCAUAGGCACUUCCUCUGAAUUGAGCCUAAAAUAAACAAUCUUUUCAAAUUAUCAUGUCUCUUUAAAUGCACCACUAGCAAAAAUGAUUAUUUUUUAACGCUCUUAUGAUUCAAGGCAAUUUUCGUAAAAAAUAUGUAAUUGUCUCAUCAACCGGAAUAACUCUGUAGUGCACUAAACAAACACUUGUUAGAAUCCUCAGUUAAAAAGAAGAAACACCAGUAACAGUAUUGUAGUCUGGAAGAACAAAAAGCAAUAACUUGUUUGAGAUUCAGUUUAACAAAAUUUUGAGAUGAAAGAUUCAUCAUAACUAGUCAUGCUGAACUCGACCUCAAUGUAUAUUUGUAGAGCAAGUUGUGAAAAAGUCCUUUAGAGGAGAAUGAAAUCAAUAAAGAGUCGGAAAGUAAAUCAAUCUGUUGCUAGCCAGUGAAGUAGAUGGUAUCGUAUUAAGCGUGAUUGUAAAUUAUUUUACAAUUAACAAUUAUAAAUCGAGUUUCUUUUGAAGCCCUCUUCUUGUUCAUAAUUAAGUUAAUAUAUAUCAGGACUACAAGUCAUUUGAGCAAGAAACUAUUAGUGCUUCUUUAAAUAGUUUUAUUUUGAUAGCAAUGUAAGAACUUGAAUUUUAGACUCUUGAAAGUACUCCCGUAUUUCUAAUAUGUUAAAUUUUAUUGCCUCGACAUUCACACUGCCUAUUAUCGGAUCAGAAUCUAGAAGUUCUACUUUUACUUCUUCGAAUUUGUGCUGCAAUUUGUAAUAUGAUGUAGAAGGUCACUUCUUUGUACAUUAGCAAGUUUAAAUCCAAAGAAAAUCACUAUUAAUUAAUUGCAUACUCUGUAUACUAUCCACUGCACAUUUCUUGAUGAUACUUAUAGUAUAUAACUAAGGAAUCAUUGUCGCUAUUGCUCUUGUUACCCGAAAGAUUGAUCUGAUAGUAAUCUCUUAAUUAAAGACUUAAGAUGUUUUACUCAUUUACAUGCUAAAUAACUCACGAAUGAUGUCAAUACACUGAUAGAAGAUGUAAAUAAAAUAGACAAACAAACUAAAUUUAAAUGCCGUUAAACUGCAUAUAUUAGUUGAGCUUUUGAUGACAAAUAAAAUCCUCUCAACUAUCUAGAUCAAGAUCUGCAACGAAGAUUGUGAAUUUAAGAAAUUUUUUUAAUUAUAUUUUUAGAAGGUUACUAAUUUUGACCAUUCAUAUUGUGCCCGCUUGGUGAGCAAGAAAAUAAAUUUUAAAAAUCAUAGAACUCUUUUUCUAGAAAGUUUAUAUAUCCUUAAUCAUCUUCCAUGGUACAUUGAUCAUCGAUUUAGAUGCUCAAUAAUCAACAAUAAAGUGAAAAUACUACAUGGGACCAAAUUAUUCUACCUUAACUAUUAUUAUCUCUUGUUUUCUUGUUUCCAAGGAUCAGGUGAAUCCAAACAACAUAUUAAUCAGCAAAGGCAUAUACUAUAUAUACUCCUUGUACCCUUUUGCAGAAUCAACUAGUUGAGAUAGCAAAGAAAAUAAAAAUUAAUUAAAAGUGUAGCGGAAGAAGAAGAACAACAACUAACCACAGAUCCAAAAAGGAUUAGAUUGAAGAGGGAGUUGCUCCAAGAUAAUUAAUCUCAAGUUUAACUAGAGAAAAUACUGCAACCAAAUUAAGAAGCUCUUGAAGUAGAUGUUUUAUAGGGAUUGAAGAGUGAGAGGAUGAGGAUGAACUAUAUUAUUUUACAAACAAAUAUAUAAUUGGGAGCAAAUGGUCUGGAGUGCAGUGGGUGAUGACGAACUAGUGCAUGCACCGGGGCCCGGCACUGGGUCAUGAAUUCGUUAAAAAAUUAUAUUUCGGACUACGAAUAUUUAAAAAAUAAUAAAUUUAUUAUCAUCGAUCCGUUGUAGAAAUCUAAAAGAAAAAAAAAUGAACGGGACAAAAAAAAAUAAUGCAAAUUAAUUUGUAGUCGUCAAAUACGACAUCCAUUGCGAGGCUUUCCAGCCUGGCUUGGAUCGGUGAAAAGGUAGGUUCAACUAACCAAUAAUAAUAAUAAUAUAUAUAUAAUUAUCUAAUGCAACAAUAUAUAGUUUGUAAUACAAAUACAAACAAUAAAUUAUAUUUUAUAUUAUGGCUGGUUUGUUUACUUUAUUUUUUAUCCGUGUUAAUUUUGCUUGCCUCUUUUCUGGCCAUGGAAGUAUAUAAAUGUAGAUAAUAUUUUAUAUUUAUGUUGAAAUAAGUAAUAAGAGCUAUAGGAUAAUUUUAAUAUAUAUAUAUANNNNNNNNNNNNNNNNNNNNNNNNNNNNNNNNNNNNNNNNNNNNNNNNNNNNNNNNNNNNNNNNNNNNNNNNNNNNNNNNNNNNNNNNNNNNNNNNNNNNNNNNNNNNNNNNNNNNNNNNNNNNNNNNNNNNNNNNNNNNNNNNNNNNNNNNNNNNNNNNNNNNNNNNNNNNNNNNNNNNNNNNNNNNNNNNNNNNNNNNNNNNNNNNNNNNNNNNNNNNNNNNNNNNNNNNNNNNNNNNNNNNNNNNNNNNNNNNNNNNNNNNNNNNNNNNNNNNNNNNNNNNNNNNNNNNNNNNNNNNNNNNNNNNNNNNNNNNNNNNNNNNNNNNNNNNNNNNNNNNNNNNNNNNNNNNNNNNNNNNNNNNNNNNNNNNNNNNNNNNNNNNNNNNNNNNNNNNNNNNNNNNNNNNNNNNNNNNNNNNNNNNNNNNNNNNNNNNNNNNNNNNNNNNNNNNNNNNNNNNNNNNNNNNNNNNNNNNNNNNNNNNNNNNNNUAUAUAUAUAUAUAUAUAUAUAUAUAUAUAUAUAUAUAUAUAUAUAAUUGAGCUAUUAUGUUUUUAAAAGUAUCAAGUCAUUGGUGCUUGUAAGUUUUCGGCCCUUGGAUUAAGGAAUAUGUGGUUAGAAUGAUGUGGGCCCUCUAGGGUUGAGUGAGUGAUUGGUUUAAUAGUAUGAUCUAACGGGUGAAAAUAAUCAAAGACGUAGGUUUAACGGUAAAAAAUUUACAAGCACCAAGUGGUUGGUACUUUUACAAGCACUAUAGCCAGACUCAUAUAUAUAUAUAUAUAUAUAUACAUAUAUAUAUAUAUAUAUAUAUAUAUAUAUAUAUAUAGUACGUCUCCCGUGCUUUCGAAAGUAUGGAGGUCUCCGUGCUUGUAAGUUGUUUUCGAUGAUAGGACAUCCGAUUCGAUGAUCGGCUCCGUUAGACAUAAUCUAUGCUAUUGGAACUAUUUAGAAACCAAAUUUUAUAAAUUUUUGACAUCAUUUACCAAACGAUCAUAGGGUCUCAAAAAUGACUAUUUUAACGGCCGAUGCGGCACGUUUUUAAGUUCAACGGUGUAGAAGUAUUCAAAUUACAUGAAACUUUAAUAGAAAAUUCUACUUAACAUCAAGAGCAAGAACAAUACUUCCGAUUUGAAAUUUGACUCCUUUAUCACUGUUUUUUAUGAGAUUUUUAUUUUUAGCUGUUCAUUUUGAGGUUACUCGUUCACCAGACAAAUGAAGUAAAAAUAUUAUAAAAUUUGGUUUGUAGAUAGUUCCAAUAGCGUAGAUCAUGUCUAACGGAACCGAUCACCGAAUUGAACGUCCUAUCAUCGAAAACAACUUACAAGCACGGAGGCAUCCGUACUUUUGAAAGCAUAAAGCCUAGCUCUCUCUCUCUCUCUCUCUCUCUCUCUCUCUCUCUCUCUCUCUCUAUAUAUAUAUAUAUAUAUAUAUAUAUAUAUAUAUAUAUGAGUUCGGCUGGGAUACUAUCGAUAGCACGAUACAUUUGGUGCUAUUAAGUUUUCUGCCGUUAGAUUUAUCUCUUUUAUUAUUUUUAACCGUUCGAUUAUACUAUUCAACUAACCACCCACUCAACCCUCGGGAGCCCACAUCAUUCUAACCACACAUCUUUUAAUCCAAUGGUAGAAAACUUAAUAGCACCAAGUGCCUCGUGCUAUUAAUAGUAUUCCAGCCUAGUUCUAUAUAUAUAUAUAUAUAUAUAUAUAUAUAUAGAGAGAGAGAGAGAGAGAGAGAGAGAGAGAGAGAGAGAGCAGGGCUGCUGUGCUCUCAGGAGCACGGAGCUCCUGAUCCGUUUUCGAUGAUGAAAUUUUUAAAUUGAUGAUCGGCUCCGUUAAACUUGAUUUAGGGUAUUUGAAGUUUCUAGAAAAUAAUUUUUGUGAUUUUUUGACAUCAUUUACCUAGUGAUCGAAAGGCUCGGGCUCAGCUGGUCACAACGACCAAGGCGGUGGUUGGGGAGCUAGGAGACGACGGCUGGGAGUCGCCGGAGGCCGGAGGAAGGCAACUCAGCAGGCUGUUGGCAGCAGCGGCGCGCAAGUGCGAUGCAGGCUAAGGCUUGGCCCAAGCUCGUGCAGGGUGGUCAUAGGGAGUAAGGCCGCGGCCAGCAGCCUGCGAGGACGACGAGGGCGGUGCGCCGAGGGUCGCCAGAGGCCCAGGAGGGUGGCGCGGCCGGCCAAGGGCGGCGGCGGCGCGCGGGCUAAGGUUUGUCCUGGACUCGACCCGAGAAGAUCUCAUUUGGCCGCGGGUCGUCCAGGGGCGACGGCGGCGUGUGCGGACGGCGGGCACCAGCGGUGACGGGGCCGGAGGUCAGGCCACGGCCGUGAAAGGGGGCCUCGACGCGUGAGGUUCACUCCUAGAGGUCUGCGACCAGGAAGAUGGCAGCUAGGUAGAGAUCUAGGAGGAGAGGAUGCAAUGAAUACUUUUCCGGCGGCCGGAGAUGCUCGCCGGCAACCGGAGUGUGCGCGCAGCUAGGGCAGGGAGGUGCUUGUGACAUCUGGGGAGCAGUUGAAGGAGCUAACUAACUAUGGUUAGGGUUUCAUGCCUGAAACCCUAACACCUACAUAUAUAUGUAAGAUAGUUUUGCAGAAAAGUCCUCCAAAGCUGAAUAUUUACAGCCCAGUCCCUCACAAUGCUUGUAUUACACGUGUACGCACCUCGACGUUUGAUUUCACGCAAAAUGGUACAUAAAAUAUGGUUUGUUUUGCAGAUUUUCCGUUUGUCAACUAUCAACCCCUUCUCGAUCUUCGCGCGAUAUCCAGAGAUCCAUCUGUCGGAUUUGUGAACGGAUUGCGCCCAUGCGUUCGGCACGACUGGGGCAUCAAACUCAUGAUUUCAUUUCACCUGAUAUGGUCGCCGAUUUGCUACGAAACCCAUCCACUCUCCAAUUUCCAAAAAUCUUUUUUGUGAUAAAAUUCUUUUUCUUGAAAACCGUGUAUCAGAUUUGAAAUCCGCCAACGCCAAUGGUUCCAGAAUAGUCGGACCAUUGAAAACGAGCUAUUGGACUGCUAUGAACGGAGUCCGAUACGCACCAGAAGCCAUCUCCAUUGAUCGGCCUCUCCGGAAAAUCGGAGUUACUAUUCACUUUAAAUGAUUAGUACAUGUCGCGUAACUUUUCCAUCCUAACUCGGUUUCUCCUAAAAUUUGACUAGUGUUUAUAUAAUUAAAUUACAUACAAAAAUAUCGUCAACACAGAGUUUAUUUGCACCGCAAAAAUCUCAGUCCUCACAUACCAGCACGAUGCAGUACCGGUACCUGAGCUCGAUACCGGUACUCGACUGGUCGGUACCGGUACUCAGUAUCUCUCCACGCAAAUCUGAGAGUGUUCUAAAACUGCACUGGGGUACUGGUACUCUUCUCUGGUACCGGUACUCAACACUGAAAUCCUGCACUUUGCGGAUUCAGUGUCAAAACACUACUUUCGUGUCACACUGAGUCCGUUUUGCGUUCAUUUCGCGUCAAAACGACUCCGACUUUUUCCGACACUCUCCAGAUGUGUCGACAAACCUUAGAUGCUGAAACCCACGGCUGCAGAACACCAGAGACAGCACAAUGAUCGUCUUAGAGUACAUUUUUGUAUAACAGGACUUUUCGUUUUCGAAAAUUAUGAAAAAUAUUGCAUAAAAUAAUGACUUGAUUGCGAGAUGAUCAUUUUAAUUUUCUGAAUUUCAUCGAUUAAUGCACCAAGUUAACUAUUAGACCUUACAAAUAAGUGCCCACGAGUAUUACAAACCAUCAAGAGCUAAGAAAAAUAAAUUCACGAAAAUUGGCUUCCUUUUGUUCAAAUAAAAAUAAAUCCAGAUCGUACUAUUAUUACAUAAUACAGUAAUAAAAUAUGAACUAGGUUAUUAUACUAUUAAUAGCACUAAGUUAUUGGUGCUAUUAGGGUUUCUUCCAUUGGAUGAAGAGAUAUAGGGUUAGAAUAAUAGUAGUCUUCUAAGGCUGAGUGGAUGGUUUGUUGAAUAGUAUGAUCUGACGGAUGAAAAUGAUCAAAUGGGUAGACCUAACGGCGAAAAACUGUAGCACCAAGAGGAGUAAACUUGUAAUUUAAAUAAUUAUUACUCGCCAGCAGUAAUACGAGAUACCCACUCUUCAUUCGGUAAUAUUUUCGGAGUAAUCUUACAUCAUUUAUAAUGCUAAUUUGCCAAUUAUAUUAUAAACUGGAUGACCCAAAUAUAAUAAUCUUGACAAAAAUACCUAUAGUUCUGACAAGAUAAUCCGAACCAAAUAAGCCCUUUUUAAAUUAUGAAAGUGAUAAAUUUUGUUAAUAAGAGAAGGUCUAUAUGAAUGCGGCCUACGCGCACUGGACGCGAGUUCUGAAAUUAAAAUAAAAAAAAAAAGAACGCGGAGAGGACUCCCGUGACUCAGGCACUGGUUUACUUCCGUACAUGAAAAUUAUAAAUAAUAUUUGGAAAUUACUAUUUUAAAAUUAAAAUCUAAUUAAUAUAUAUUUGAUUUAUAGUAUUUAAAAGGAGGUUUUUUAUAAACAAUCCAAGGAAGUUUUAUAAUUACAAAAAUAUUCUUCUACAAAAAUUACUUAUAAAAGUAGGCCUCUAAUAUGCCAGUGAGAUAGUCCGCUGAUAAAAUAUUGAAAGUUGUAAAUAAUUUAUCAUAUUUAAAAGCAGUCAAGUAUUUGUGAAACAACCGUUGUACUCUAAAAGCUUAAGCUGCUAGAGAACGAUAUUGAUAUAUUUUUAUAUUUAACACUCUCCCUUACGUCUGGGUUCGAAACUUUUUUAGUCGGUUCAUGACGUAGGCUUGAAUUAAAUGGAAGGAAAUUAAUAUGCUAAGAGCCUGGCGUGAUUCGAACUCAGGACUUCCUGCUCUGAUACCAUGUAGGAAGUUGAAAUUAGUGAAAAAAUGAUUGUUGUUCUCGAUGAAGAACACACAAAAUCAACUUUCAAUAUAUACAAUUAUUGAAUACAAAAUAUAAUCCCAUUAUUCUUGGGAUUACAACAUUUACAUAAUUACAUUCUAAAAAUGUACAAUAUUUGAAUCCAAAUAUUUUCUAUUUGGAGUGGUUGCCAUACUUGAGAGAUUGCCAUUCUUGAGUUUUCACAAUUGCUUAUAAUUUGAAUACUUGUCAAAGUUUACAAUUGCUUAUAAUUUGAAUACUUGAGUUUCCACUAAUUACAACUUCCUUCAGUAUUUACCGUCGAUAAAAGCAGUGAAUAUAGAGUUAACCGCCUUUAGUGUACUUUUUUUUUACUGGUUUGUGGAAAGUAUUUAAAAAUGAUAAAUAGUUUAUCGCUUUUAGAAAAUUGUUUUAAGUUUUAAACGCACUGAACCAUUCACCGCUUUCUAAAAUGUAGCGAAUUAAUGCUUCAACCCCUUUCUUUAUGUCCUCGCCACGCUGGCACCCAUCUAACUAGUUGAGGUCUAUUUUUGCAUAUAAAAAAUUGGGGCAGUUGCCUAUAUACCCCUGAAAAGUUUUCGGUUUUCUUAUUUACCACUCUUAAAAGGCUAAUAUUGAAAAUACCCAUUCUUAUGUGCCAAGUCUUUCUAAUAUAUCCCUGAAGUUAAGUUCCGUUAGUGAACUGCCGUUAUCUCUGAAAAAUUAUUAUUUUGCCCAUUUCAAUAUACCCUUAUACCGUAACUAAUUUUUUUUAUAUAUCCUUCAUAUAGCAAAUACUCUUUUUAUUUAUCCUUCAAAUAUUAAUUAAUUAAUUAAGCACAAUUAAUUAAGGGUAUAGUUAUCUUGGUGUUGGAGGCAUAGUUAAUUAAUUCGGAUUCGACAAAAAUUCGGUACGGAUAAAAUUCGGAUAAAAUUCGUCUUUUAAUUUUGAAAUUCGUUAAAAAAUAUGACUAAAAAACGGAUUCGGCAAUUAUUCGGAUACGUGAUUUAUACAGGUAUUACACGUUCACCAAUUAAAAAUUCGGGAUAAAAAAUUAGGCUAUAUAAUAAAUAUAUAAUAAUUAAUAUACUAUAUAUAUUAUUAUUAUAAUUUUUAUAUAUAGAUUAAAUAUAUUUAAAAUUAUAAUAAACAUAUAUUAAUAAUAUAUAAGAGUUAUAUAUUUAAAAAUAUUAAUAAACUCAAUUCUGUGCAGAUCUAAAGAAUAACUUAUUCCAAUUAAUCUUAGAUAAUUAACUCUCCCAUCCUAAUUAACUCUCUCAAUUAACUCUCCCAACUGUCUUCUCUAGUUAAUUGUCAAUUAACCCUUGUACAGCACCCCUCCUCGUCCCCUUCCUCCGGCACCGGCAGCACCCGCCUCGACCACCAUCGCCACUCCAAACCCCGAGGACCCUGCGCCUCUCUGAGAUCAUCCCAAAUAAAUUAAUAUUCAAAUAAACAAAUAAAUAAAUAAAUAUAUCACUACAUGAAGAACAAGAAGGCGAAAAUGGAGCCCCCAUGAACAUAAUGUAAGCUAUAUUUUGGUCGAUUAUUUUGAAAUUUUUGCUCUGUAACUCCUUUUCAGCUGCAUGAAUGAAAAGUGAAUUUCGUUUUUUUCUCUCUAAUCCGCAUUAUCUUAAUUUCAUUUAUGAUUCUAGUGAGGUGACCUGCUACAUUUUUACCAAGAACUAAACAGAAAAAAUGGUGAAUCAAAAUAAAACGAAAAAUCGCAUCGUUAUUAUUAGUACUAUUAAUUGUACCCGGACGAAGAUGGGGAUGAUGGAGGCGGCGGCGAGGAGUUCCCCGUGGUUCCUCCUCCGUCCAUCUCCUCUCUCUUUCUCUCUCUACACUCUCUUUCUUUCUCUCUCUUCUUUUUGGUGAGUGGUGGUCGUGUUUGUCUCCGUUUUGUCUUGAGGAGGAGGACGACGAGAGUGACGGAGGAGGAGGAUGACGAGAGCAAUGAGAGGGGUUGUGUUGGAGGUGGAGGUGUGGGAGGUGGUGGUGGUCUGGGAGGAGAUGAGGCAAGGUGGAGGCGGAGGAGCCAGUGUUCAAGUUGAAAGAGAAAGAGGAUAAUUUAAGAAAUUAGCAUAAUAAAGUAGGGGUAAAAUAGGUAUUUUAUAUAAAUUUUAACUCUAGUAUGUAUUUAAUCCAUGUUUAAUCCGAGUUAAGUUAACAGGAAAUAACUGCGGGAAUAUUUUGGAAUAACGGUGGAAUAUAUGAAGGGCAUUUUAAAAAAAAAAAAAAAGUAGGAAUAGAUCGAAUAUUUUCAGACGCAUGAGGGAUAUAUAGGCAAUUAUUCCUAAAAAAUUUGAAAGGUCUAGUUUUGGAAUAAAGUUUUAAUUUGAAGAGGGCCGGUGGCCUAAAAUACCCUUUUGAAAGUCAUGUAUGAUGGCCUAAAAUCAACUUCACACUAUACUAAUUUUUCUUUUCUUUUUUCUUUUUAUUUAUUUGUUGCGUGUACAUGCAUGCAUAAUUAAUAAAAAGAUUAUAUGCAUUAUGAUCUCAUGACGCUCAGAUCAUAGGCUCUCGUUAUUUUAUGGGAUAUGCUAAUUAUUUUACUCUUUAAGAUUGCACUAUUCAUUUCCAACAUACAAUUAAUAACUUAUUAAGUUGUCGCGCCAAACGGUCCAUAUACNUAUGAUCUCAUGACGCUCAGAUCAUAGGCUCUCUUUAUGUUAUAGGAUAUGCUAAUUAUUUUGCUCUUUAAAAUCGCACUAUUCAUUUCCAACAUACAAUUAAUAACUUAUUGAGUUGUCACGCCAAACGGUCCGUAAACUUCCCUAAAAAAAAAAAACACGAAAAAAGAGAGAAAAUCUUUUUUUUUUUAGUUUUUUAAUAUUUUUUUUUUGAAAAUGAGCCUGUAGGGCUCUUAAAUUAUAAAUAUUAUUGAUUAAUCUUUAGCUAAAAGUAUGUUCUUUGUUAGGAAGAGAACACAAUUAUUUGUGAAUUUCUUUGUUAUAUAACUUUGGGGAAAAUUUUUUGGAAUCUCUUUUAGUCAUAUGAUUAUGAAUCCACCAUAUAUAGUUAUUCCAAACAGAGCAUGUCAUAUAAUUGUGGUUAAAAUUAACCCUCAAUCGUGUCACAGGAUAUAUAAAGUUAUAGUUAGUUCUUAAAUUUAUCACUCCACAAAAUUAGGAACAAAAAUAUAGGCAAAAUCUUAAUUUACAUUAGCCUAUCCUAUCCUCCUUUUUUAAUAGAAUUUUUUUUUUAGAAUUAACGAAAGAAAUCAUGAUUCUGUUUGAUAAUAAGGAACGGAUCAGAUUCAAUAGAAUAAGAAAGGGAAUUAAGCAACGUUACAGAUAGGGGGUGUAGCCAUAUAAUAAUUCUAUUUCAUUAGAACCGACAAUAUAUAUUCGAACGACUCUGAAAUACUAAAUCUUUUUUAAUUGAGAGCCCUUACCUCUUAUAUAUAAUGCAUGGCUCCAGUGUAGAGUCUAAUUAGAAUUCAUGGUCCUAUAAAAUUUUUAAUUAAACUCUAUUUAUUUUUUAAUAAAUUUAAAUCUCAUUUUAUCCUAAUUAAAUUAGAAUUUGGCUUUAAUUAAAUAACCAUAAAUUUAAACCGAAAUCUAGUAAUAGAUUUUCUCACUAAUAUGUUAGAUAGCAAUAUUUGUGAAACUACCUCAUCUAUUUUCUCUAUUCUUAUCUCGUUAUAUAUAUAUUGUCAAGUCCUAUUUGUUUAGGAUUAACUCAACGGAGUUAAGAACUGACAUUUGCUUUUAUCUUUUUCUUCAAUUAUUUUUUUAAAAAUCUUUUUAAUGAGAGUAAAAUAUAGAAAACUCCACGUAAAUACUUAUUUUUUUACUUCCUCCACCAACUUUAAAAAAAUCUAUACUUUAUCUCUUCAAAAUUUCAAGUUGAUGUGUUUAAAUUCCCUACAUUAAGGUUCCGUCACUAUUCCGUCCAUUUCUUAUAAUUUAUAUUAAAAAAAAACCUUUAAAAUGGCAGAAAUUUUUUUUUUUUUUUUUAAAGAACAAGUAAGAAAAAUUUAAUCAUCUAUUCAUCUCCAUUCACGCCAAACAUUUCUGAGAUUUUAAGGGGAUAGAAUGUAGAUUUUUUAAAAGUUAGGAAGAAAACGUAAAAACAAAAAAAGAUAUUUAUAAGGGAAGGUUUUCUUUAUUUUAGCCAAUAGAAAAAGUUUUAAUAAGGAUACAAAUUAAGCAUUCUCCAAAUACAUAAUACAGUGGAGUAGUGGUUCUUCCGAAGGAAAAAUUCUAGAAUGCAACGGGUAUAUUGAUGACGUGAUAUAACAAGCCAAUCAAAUAUUUUUUUUUAGAGAUAUAUGUCCCAUCAUGAUUAUAAAAAAAUAUUUUUAUUAUACUUUUGUUUCAAAAGAAAAAAUGUGAUUGGCUUAUUAUUGAUGACGUGGUGCAAGUGUGAUAGUGUAGAAUUCCUCCUUCCGAAGACACCAACUCAUAUUUGAUAUUUCCACUUUUAUGUGCAUUAAUUACAAGUAAAAUAAAAUAUGCAGACAAGAUAACAUCUAUCCCUAGAUCAUCGUUUCCUUAAGUGUGGGUUGUCUAGGAGAUCCGAGGCGGAAAAUAUAGAAGCAUCAAGCUCGGUGGUUGGCAAUAAUUAAUUCAGCUACAUGAUGUGGAAUCACUGAAUCCUUUCUGUGACAAACUCGCCGUGUCGUUCGAACCAGAUGGUAAAAUUCGGGAUGUGGCGAACCCUCGUGCGCCAGUCAUUGCUGUGGUCGCCUUCUCCUCCUCCUCCUCCUCCUAGAAGCAGCUCAACAAGUUCCUCUGCUGGACGCCAAAUGUUUAAAUCUUGAAGGGUGGUAAGGUACUCGAUGCCGUGGGGCAGCUCCUUUAGCUCAGGGCAACCGCGUAGCUUAAGCGUAUUCAGGCUUGCCAUUGCUCCUCUUUCUAUUUCCACCUGACUGAGCUUCUGGGCACCUGAUAUGUACAAUUUCUUUAGCUUUGGGAAUGAUGUUGCUUGGAAGUGCAACUUCAUGCCGUCAUAUGCCCCACAAAGUUCGAGAAACAUCAACGCAGGCAGCGCUUGCAAGUAAGGAAAUGUAUCUUCAUCAAAUUUUGCCUCUGAAAGUGUUAAUCUGGUUAGGUUUGUAAGAGACCGAAAGGACGCGGCAAGCUCAGAGACUGAGGUUUUGUCUAAUUUACCCUGUAGAUAUAAACUUUGAAUUCGCAGAGGUAGGCGCAGGGUGUCCAAUUGCCGUAAUUCUUGCCCAGGUUCACUUUUGACAGAAAAAAAGCUAAGAUGGUUCAUCUUAGUGAUACUAUUCCACAAGUCUGCACAGUGAUGGGUUCUUACGCAGGUUAUCCCAAAUGUCCGCAACUCUGUCAAAGCUUCUACAUUCCGCACAAUCCUCCUAGUUGCUUUAAUAUAUCCUAAAGUCUGCAAGCCCUUCAAACGCCAUAUUCCAACCGGUGCCUUGAUGCCCCAGAAUAGUGUUGAAACUAGGUGUCUCAACUUUUGAAGCCUCGUUAUUCCCUUCGGAAGCUCCUUAAUUCCUGUUGCCCGCAAGCCUAGAUAAUGCAGGUUGAAUAGGUUACAGAUCUCACUUGGUAGUUUCUCGAUUAGUGCUCCAUCUAGUUCCAAAACACGUAAGAAUUUUGAUGAUCUUAAGACCGACUUAAGUAGAUCAUAGCUCAUGGAAUAGUUGAAAAUAAGUACUGAACGCAAAUGCGAUUUGUCUUCAGUAAAAUAAUUAGUUAUAUUGCUUAGAACUGACAAGCGGCGUGCUUUGGAUCUCUGCAAUAUUGUCCGUGAAUGCUCGUAAACCAUGCAGAAGCUUAACUCCUUUGACUUCGAAAGAGCGAGGACUCGAAUGAUGUCAUGCAUUCGACAUGCAUGAAUGCUUCCGUCUUCGUUCCUCUCGGCCACUUGUAGUAGACACCGAUGAACAAGUUCAUUAAGGUAGUCCUCGGCCACUUCCUCCAUCAUUCUUUCUCUUUCUUCAAUGAAACCCUCUGCCAUCCAGAGCCUUAUGAGCUUGUUACUCGCAAUUCGAUAAUCUUCCGGAAAACUAGAACAAUAUAAGAAGCAAUUUCGAAGGUAAUGGGGAAGAUCGUCCAAACUAAGUUUCAAAAUGUCAUGUACUUUUUCAUGGAGCUUCGAUUCGUUGUUAGUUAGAUACCACUCAAGAUCUUUGUAAACCUUCUCCCAC
rnacentral:lncRNA from 1 species